CCUACGGGAGGCAGCAGUGGGGAAUAUUGCACAAUGGGCGAAAGCCUGACGCAGCGACGCCGCGUGAAGGAUGAAGGUCUUCGGAUCUUAAACCUCUGUUAGCAGGGAAGAACGGUCACUGUCCUAAUCAUGAGCGAAUUGACGUGACCUGCAAAGAAAGCACCGGCUAACUCCGUGCCAGCAGCUGCGGGAAUACGGAGGAGGCGAGCGUUAUCCGGAUGUAUUGGGUGUAAAGGGUGCGUAGGCGGAUUGUCAAGUCAGCGGUCAAAUUGCGGGGCUCAACCCCGUCGUGCCGUGGAAACUGGCUGCCUUGAGUGCGCGAGAGGUAUGCGGAAUGCGAGGUGUAGCGGUGAAAUGCGUAGAUAUAACGCAGAACUCCGAUUGCGAAGGCAGCAUACCGGCGCGGAACUGACGCUGAGGCACGAAAGCGUGGGUAUCGAACAGGAUUAGAUACCCGAGUAGUC
rnacentral:rRNA from 1 species